UUUCCGUAGGUGAACCUGCGGAAGGAUCAUUAUCGAAAAGCAAUCCGGGGGGGAGGCGACCGAGCGAAGUCUGGUAGAUCGUAGGGAUUGUCGCUGGCCUUUGGAAACGAAGGCAUGUGCACGUUCCGAGUUCUCCUUAGUCCUCCUUUGCCUUUCCUUUGGAAAACCCUUUCUUCACACCCGUGCACCCAUUGUAGGUCUCCGCGAGGGGAUCUAUGUCUUCACAUAAACACUACGUAUGUCUAGGAAUGUAUCUAAAAGCGUCGGACGGCUUGGCUUCGUGCCCGGUCGGCGACGGUAAAGAACCAUAAUACAACUUUCAGCAACGGAUCUCUUGGCUCUC
rnacentral:misc_RNA from 1 species